AGCAACUUCUGUGUACUAGAACAAACCUAUUAUACAAAACCAUCUGACAACGCUGCUCUAAAGUGAAAAGUGCUCUUCAAACAUCGAUGACAUCUUUUUUUUCCUGUUUUCUCUACCUACCUAAACAUCAGCUGUCUCCCGUUUCCCGAGAGUUCGCCGACCAGUUUUGCUUUCAAACUGAAAAAAACUACAGUUUAACUUCACCAGGCACAAUCAUCAGAAUGAGAUGCAGGAAAAUAUUAACCCAGAAUGGUUUUACCGUCCAGUGUGAGAAACAUUUUACAAAUGAUAAAAAAGGUAUUUGUGCGGAUCUGCGAAUUCGGUUUUUGUGGAAUAAUUCGACCAAGGGCUAUGAUGUAUGCUAUAGCAUCGGUGGAGAGUAAGUCCAAUCAUACAGCUUCAUCCCACCCCGGGAGCAGAUGAGCGCUAGCGAAUGUUCUCAGCCACCUGGAGGAGGAGGUUCAGCGCGGAAGAAAUGUUACCAGAUUUCGCCGAUCUGGUGUCUGAACUUUUUUUUGAUAAUCUCAGAGAUUGGGUGUGCAGAUGGACGGUUGGAGUUCUGGGAGGGAACGACUGGUAACUUUAAGGGUAUAUAUGAAGCCGAAAACACCCACAACAAUGGGGUAACUAACACAUAGCUCGCCGGUGACAAAGUGAUAGUCGCACGGUUGAGUGGAGGAAUCGAUUUUCUGAAACUGGAAACGUACACGCAAGGUUGUCAGAUCGAUUGGGGAUUUACGUCUGCAUAAGGGCGAACCCACGCACGUACCGGUUCGGCAGGAAGCAUUAGUUAAUUUCAGCAAUCCGUCCACAGCGUUGCCAGCUCAACAUCACGCAUCCGAGA